UACGGAGGGUGCGAGCGUUGUCCGGAAUUAUUGGGCGUAAAGAGCUCGUAGGCGGUCUGUCGCGUCGGCUGUGAAAACUCGGGGCUCAACCCCGAGCCUGCAGUCGAUACGGGCAGACUAGAGUGCUGUAGGGGAGACUGGAAUUCCUGGUGUAGCGGUGAAAUGCGCAGAUAUCAGGAGGAACACCGGUGGCGAAGGCGGGUCUCUGGGCAGUAACUGACGCUGAGGAGCGAAAGCGUGGGGAGCGAACAGG
rnacentral:rRNA from 1 species